UUGCCACCCAUAUCUUGACCAGGCAAUCCAAAGUCCUCCUUCCACUGUGCAUCAUCCUCUGGCAGCAAACUCCAUUGCCAGGAGGAACCAUGAAGUAGAAACAAAACCAGCUUUUCACAGCUCAUGACAGUGGCCCUGAGCAUAGAAGGGUUUUUCAGUCCACUGUAGUUAAUAUAAUGUUUCCAGCUUGAUACAGCCCCAUCACAGUGUACUUCUAACCCAGAGGUGUUGCAGGGUAGAGGUAUCCAUCCAGCAUCCCUAUUAAAAAAAAAAAAAAAAAAAAGUCCAUCUGAAUUGUGCCACAUACUUCAGAGUAUCAAAAUGCUCCAAUUCUGGGCUACUAAUCAGGAAAAGGCAAAGAACUGUUGCCACCUGCAAACUGCUGAGCUGCAAGAAUGAGGAGCUCAAGUUCUCACUCAGGUGCAUUUCAGUAUGACUGAACCACUGCAUGGGAUUUCAUGGACUCCAUUAGCCUGUCAGCAAGAGAUCAAAGAGUCGUUUGUGUAAGUUGUCAUAAGUCAAUGGCAGUCAGAUCUCAGGCAUGUAACUGAGAUUUAAAUACUCCCUGAGAUAACAGUGUCCAUGGUUUUACGCAGACUCUCUGCAGAGGAGGAGAGGUUCGAGCUAACAGGAGAUUUAUUUUUUUUUAAUCUUUGCCUGAACAACGUGAUCAUUCUUCAACUCUCAUGUUUGUUGAAAUAAAGCAAAUAUUUUAAAAGCACAAAA